AGAUAAGGAUGCGUCGGCCCGUGUUACAUAUAAUAUUUCAAGCUAGCCUUAUGUUUUUAUCUUUAUCGUUUUUGCUUUAUUACACGUCGCAAGUCGGACACGUCGCUUACUACUUUCAUUUCUGUUUAGGUGUUUGUAUUGCUUAACGCUUAUGAAGUGUGCUUAGUACGUAUACAUAAUGCUAUGUGCCCAUCCUUGUUCCAGAAUUCGGCGAUUGUGAACAUGCAUUGGGACAUGACGAAGGUGCUAAAGUUGUAAACAUCAAACUUGGAAACCCAAUACCUUGCGGGUCGUGUAAUACCAUAGGGGACAGUGCUGUGCAUUUUGGCAUGAACUUACAUAGGCAGGGUCCACUGCAAGGGUAAUCAAAGUAGAGUGCACACAGGAAAAUGGCACAGUGUGGAUGGUCAUUUAGAGACGAGUUGACGGUUCCACAAACUUUGACAAAACGUGGCAAAUGUACAAAGAGGGUUUUGGAAAUGUGGACCCAAAUGGAGAGUUUUGGCUAGGCAAUGAAAACAUACAUCAAACGACAUAUACUGCUGACCAUCGUUUACGAAAAGACAUGCGCGACUGGGAUGGAAACUUGGUUAACGCCGAGUACGAACAUUUCCGUGUUGGGGGACGAAGCUAGCCGAUAUACUCUUGUAGUGGGAAGCUAUUCGGGCACAGCAGCUACAGCACCACCAGGUGGCGUUCUCCACGCGUGACCAUGACAACGACAACAGCCCUGCCAACUGCGCACGUGAGCUGAGAGGCGGUUGGUGGUUCAACGACUGCUACAGUGCGGGGUCUUGUAUCAUUCUUGUAAGCGACUGAUGAGAAAUGGUGUGUUUGUUUUAUAUUUAUUUCUCGUUUUCAUAUGGUGAUUUGUUGGAACACCUAAAGAGAUUUAACAGUUAUCAUCGGUAAUUCGUUGCUUUUGCUUUUGUUGUGUUUCUUUAUAUACUGAAUAUUCUAAUAACGUCAAAGUUCGAGGAGUUAAACAAAUUCUUUUACACCAUAUAUUUAUUUUUAUUAAAAUUUACUCCCACUUAGAACAUGCUUUGUGCUUUGAAAUAUAUUUCGAAAUACUUUUGCAAUAAGAUGUACGCUUAUAAUAGUGACGUGCGUUUGGUUACGAAAACUGUAUUUGCAAGUGUAACGCACUUUGGUGUUGACGAAAGAACGUACGCAUUAUGGAAUUAAACUCCAAAGUCGGGUUGAAACCGAAUAGCGGUGAUACAAAGUAAUAACAAAAUAACAGUAUUAACUACUUUUGAUAUUGCAGUUCCAAUCUUAACGGUGUCUUCAUCGACCAUCCUUUCGGUGCGCGCACGAUCGGCGAGUCGUACCCACAACACCCCCUCGAGGGCACGGGCUUAGAGUGGUGCCCGUACAAACGCCGACAGUACUCCAUGCGAAGCGUGGAAAUGAAAAUCACAAAAUCAAGGGUCGCGUCCAUUUUGGGAUGAUUUUUUGUUGGGGGCUUUGGUAUUUCAUGAAAAUAAAGCGGCUUAUUCUCUG